UGAAUACGAGAUGCUACGGCGUCGAAGCAGUCUAUGUCAUACUUCCAAGAAAAGCUCGCACUGUCAUAAACAAAUAAUGCCUGUACCAUAACCGACACAGGUGGGUAGGUAGAGUAUACUAAGGGGCGCGAGAUAACUCUCUCUAAGGAACUCGGCAAAAUGACUCCGUAACUUCGGGAGAAGGAGUGCCUUAUUUAUAAGGUUGCAAUAACAAGAUCCAAGCAACUGUUUAUCAAAAACACAGGUCUCCGCUAAGUCGUAAGACGAUGUAUGGGGGCUGACGCCUGCCCAGUGCCAGAAGGUUAAAGAAGUUGGUUAGCAUUCGCGAAGCUGAUAACUGAAGCCCUGGUGAACGGCGGCCGUAACAAUAACGGUCCUAAGGUAGCGAAAUUCCUUGUCGGGUAAGUUCCGACCCGCACGAAAGGCGUAAUGAUUUGGAUACUGUCUCGGAGAGGGGCUCGGUGAAAUAGACUUGUCUGUGAAGAUGCGGACUACCUGCACCAGGACAGAAAGACCCUAUGAAGCUUUACUGUAACUUGAGAUUGAAAUUGGACUUUACUUGCGCAGUAUAGGUGGGAGGCGUUGAUAAUAUUCUUGCGGGAUUAUUUGAGCCAUCAGUGAGAUACCACUCUUGUAAUGUUAGAUUUCUAACUUUGUAUCAUUAUCUGGUCAAAGGACAGUUUCAGGCGGGCAGUUUGACUGGGGCGGUCGCCUCCUAAACGGUAACGGAGGCGCACAAAGGUUUCCUCUGAACGGGUAGAAAUCGUAUCUAGAGUGUAAAGGCAUAAGGAAGCUUGACUGUGAGACCUACAAGUCGAGCAGGGACGAAAGUCGGUCUUAGUGAUCUGACGGUGCUGAGUGGAAAGGCCGUCACUCAACGGAUAAAAGUUACUCUAAGGAUAACAGGCUGAUCUCCCCCAAGAGUUCACAUCGACGGGGAGGUUUGGCACCUCGAUGUCGGCUCAUCGCAUCCUGGGGCGGUAGUACGUCCCAAGGGUUGGGCUGUUCGCCCAUGAAAGCGGUACGCGAGCUGGGUUCAGAACGUCGUGAGACAGUUCGGUCCAUAUCCGGUGUAGGCGUUAGAAUAUUGAGAGGAGCCUUCUUUAGUACGAGAGGACCGAGAAGGACAUACCUCUGGUGUACCAGUUAUCGUGCCAACGGUAAACGCUGGGUAGCUAUGUAUGGAGUGGAUAACCGCUGAAAGCAUCUAAGUGGGAAGCCCACCUCAAGAUAAGUAUUCC
rnacentral:rRNA from 1 species